UAGGGAAUCUUCCGCAAUGGGCGAAAGCUUGACGGAGCAACGCCGCGUGAGUGAUGAAGGUCUUCGGAUCGUAAAACUCUGUUAUUAGGGAAGAACAAAUGUGUAAGUAACUAUGCACGUCUUGACGGUAUCUAACCAGAAAGCCACGGCUAACUACGUGCCAGCAGCCGCGGUAAUACGUAGGUGGCAAGCGUUGUCCGGAGUUAUUGGGCGUAAAGCGAGCGCAGGCGGUCAAUUAAGUCUGAUGUGAAAGCCCCCGGCUCAACCGGGGAGGGUCAUUGGAAACUGGUUGACUUGAGUGCAGAAGAGGAGAGUGGAAUUCCAUGUGUAGCGGUGAAAUGCGUAGAUAUAUGGAGGAACACCAGUGGCGAAGGCGACUCUCUGGUCUGUAACUGACGCUGAGGCUCGAAAGCGUGGGUAGCAAACAGG
rnacentral:rRNA from 1 species